AAUCUCCGAAGUGUUCAGAUCGCAAAUUUGCUGUCUCAGCCGUCUUUGCUCUUUCCUGAUGCCUUGUGCUCUGAAUUGGGUCACAUGCAAUUUUGCAACAGUACAAUAGUUCUUUUAUGUGAGAACUGUCCCUCCUCGACUUGCUUCCUCUGCAUCUUCAAAAGAAGGCUAUAAAGAGCAAAUGCAGAAGCUAUUGCAAAAUAUUUCCAACAUAGACUGCUCCUCUAAAAGUCUGGGUUCUAUCCAGAACGAAAAUCAGCAAUGUCAGCAUUUUAAAAGACAGGCUGAUCUCCAAGCAGUUCAGAAACAAGGAAUCCUGGAAAUUUGUGAGCAGAAAAUUAACCCAUCGGUACCAGCAGGUCACAGUACACAAAUGAUCUGAGAUUUUGUGCCAAACUUCUCUCCCCACUCUCUUCUGUGGUGAAGAAUCAGAGGACUGGACCAUAAUUUUGGAUGGAUGAGAAAUGAACUCUGACAACUAAGCUCAAGCUAAAAACAAAUUCAACAAAUAAAGAUUUUCCAGAGCAGAUACCAGCACUCUCACGUGGCCUGUAGUAAAACUUUGUAGCAGGGAAGAAUCUUGAAGACUGUCCAGCAACUUUGAUGAAUGCUGAAUUGUAGUGAAGCUGUCCACCUUGCAAGUGGAAGAGGACUUAAUUAUGUUUAUGUCGUAGACCUCACACUGCCUGAGAGUCCUGUGUGAAA